AGAGUUUGAUCCUGGCUCAGGAUGAACGCUAGCUACAGGCUUAACACAUGCAAGUCGAGGGGAAACGACAUCGAAAGCUUGCUUUUGAUGGGCGUCGACCGGCGCACGGGUGAGUAACGCGUAUCCAACCUGCCCACCACUUGGGGAUAACCUUGCGAAAGUAAGACUAAUACCCAAUGAUAUCUCUAGAAGACAUCUGAAAGAGAUUAAAGAUUUAUCGGUGAUGGAUGGGGAUGCGUCUGAUUAGCUUGUUGGCGGGGUAACGGCCCACCAAGGCAACGAUCAGUAGGGGUUCUGAGAGGAAGGUCCCCCACAUUGGAACUGAGACACGGUCCAAACUCCUACGGGAGGCAGCAGUGAGGAAUAUUGGUCAAUGGACGAGAGUCUGAACCAGCCAAGUAGCGUGCAGGAUGACGGCCCUAUGGGUUGUAAACUGCUUUUAUAAGGGAAUAAAGUGAGUCUCGUGAGACUUUUUGCAUGUACCUUAUGAAUAAGGACCGGCUAAUUCCGUGCCAGCAGCCGCGGUAAUACGGAAGGUCCGGGCGUUAUCCGGAUUUAUUGGGUUUAAAGGGAGCGUAGGCCGGAGAUUAAGCGUGUUGUGAAAUGUAGACGCUCAACGUCUGCACUGCAGCGCGAACUGGUUUUCUUGAGUACGCACAAAGUGGGCGGAAUUCGUGGUGUAGCGGUGAAAUGCUUAGAUAUCACGAAGAACUCCGAUUGCGAAGGCAGCUCACUGGAGCGCAACUGACGCUGAAGCUCGAAAGUGCGGGUAUCGAACAGGAUUAGAUACCCUGGUAGUCCGCACGGUAAACGAUGGAUGCCCGCUGUUGGUCUGAAUAGGUCAGCGGCCAAGCGAAAGCAUUAAGCAUCCCACCUGGGGAGUACGCCGGCAACGGUGAAAC
rnacentral:rRNA from 1 species